AUUGAACGCUGGCGGCAUGCCCUACACAUGCAAGUCGAACGGUAGGGGGAGCAAUCCCCUGAGAGUGGCGAACGGGUGAGUAAAGCAUCGGAACGUGCCCAGUUGUGGGGGAUAACUACUCGAAAGAGUGGCUAAUACCGCAUACGACCUGAGGGUGAAAGCGGGGGACCGAAAGGCCUCGCGCAGUUGGAGCGGCCGAUGUCAGAUUGGCUAGUUGGGGGGGUAAAGGCCCACCAAGGCGACGAUCUGUAGCUGGUCUGAGAGGACGACCAGCCACACUGGGACUGAGACACGGCCCAGACUCCUACGGGAGGCAGCAGUGGGGAAUUUUGGACAAUGGGCGAAAGCCUGAUCCAGCAAUGCCGCGUGCAGGAAGAAGGCCUUCGGGUUGUAAACUGCUUUUGUACGGAGCGAAAAGGUCCUUUCUAAUACAAGGGGCUCAUGACGGUACCGUAAGAAUAAGCACCGGCUAACUACGUGCCAGCAGCCGCCGUAA
rnacentral:rRNA from 1 species